rnacentral:rRNA from 1 species
UACGGGGGGAGCAAGCGUUGUUCGGAUUUACUGGCGUAAAGGGCGCGUAGGCGGUCAGCACAAGUCAGUUGUGAAAUCUCCGGGCUUAACUCGGAAAGGUCAACUGAUACUGUGCGACUAGAGUGCAGAAGGGGCAACUGGAAUUCUCGGUGUAGCGGUGAAAUGCGUAGAUAUCGAGAGGAACACCUGCGGCGAAGGCGGGUGCUGGGCUGACACUGACGC